rnacentral:rRNA from 1 species
GCAUAUCAAUAAGCGGAGGAAAAAGAAACCAACAGGGAUUGCCUCAGUAACGGCGAGUGAAGCGGCAAGAGCUCAAAUUUGAAAGCUGGCUCCUUCGGGGUCCGCAUUGUAAUUUGCAGAGGAUGCUUCGGGAGCGGUCCCCAUCUAAGUGCCCUGGAACGGGCCGUCAUAGAGGGUGAGAAUCCCGUAUGGGAUGGGGUGCCCGCGACCAUGUGAAGCUCCUUCGACGAGUCGAGUUGUUUGGGAAUGCAGCUCUAAAUGGGUGGUAAAUUUCAUCUAAAGCUAAAUAUUGGCCGGAGACCGAUAGCGCACAAGUAGAGUGAUCGAAAGAUGAAAAGCACUUUGAAAAGAGAGUUAAAAAGCACGUGAAAUUGUUGAAAGGGAAGCGCUUGCGACCAGACUCGCCCGCGGGGUUCAGCCGGUAUUCGUACCGGUGUACUUCCCCGUGGGCGGGCCAGCGUCGGUUUGGGCGGCCGGUCAAAGGCCCUCGGAAUGUAACGCCUCUCGGGGCGUCUUAUAGCCGAGGGUGCCAUGCGGCCAGCCCGGACCGAGGAACGCGCUUCGGCACGGACGCUGGCAUAAUGGUCGUAAGCGACCCGUCUUGAAACACGGACCAAGGAGUCUAACAUCUACGCGAGUGUUCGGGUGUCAAACCCGUGCGCGCAGUGAAAGCGAACGGAGGUGGGAACCCUUUGGGUGCACCAUCGACCGAUCCUGAUGUCUUCGGAUGGAUUUGAGUAAGAGCGUAGCUGUUGGGACCCGAAAGAUGGUGAACUAUGCCUGAAUAGGGCGAAGCCAGAGGAAACUCUGGUGGAGGCUCGCAGCGGUUCUGACGUGCAAAUCGAUCGUCAAAUUUGGGGUAUAGGGGGCGAAAGACUAAUCGAACCAUCUAGUAGCUGGUUUCCUGCCGAA